rnacentral:lncRNA from 1 species
AGCCAAUGCUGUCCAUCACCACACUGUUCAUUCCCGGGACUGAGGUGUGAGGCUGCCACUGAGAACUCGCAUUGCAGUCCGUAGUCACUGAACUCUUCAGCGUUUGAAUGAAAGGGAAGAAGUGUGGGGGAGAUAGCCUGGGAAGUCAAGAGGCGAGAGAUGAAGCGACAGAGAGACAGCGUCUCACACAGAUGGAGCCUCUGAUUUACCAUCACAGGGACCUGGCGACACUCCAAGCUCACCCACUCCUGGGGAUCUACGAAGUGCAGAUGGUAGAACAAGAGUAAAGAUGAGGAGAGACUCUUAAAGGGAUAGCAACAACAACAACAAAAUAAGGCGAGGCAGGGGAGCUCCCUUCUCUCCAUCUGCCUGAGAAAUCACUCAAGGCCCUGCUUCACUCUAGAGAUAUUCCAAACUGUUAGCCGCAUGCACAUCACAGGCAAGGACUCCGAAGCCUGCUGCAUGGAGUCUUGUUCCCUGGGUGGGGAAUGUGCAGGCUAAAAUUACCUUGAUGUCCAUCACAGAGCUGAGAGAUGUCAUGAGGGUAAGGCACCAGGAAUGAAUCCUCCCCGUGGCUGGAAAGCUCACCUGUCAAUAUAAGGAAACCCAGCCCCAUGCUGUCAGAGAAAAGGGGAAAGCUUUUUACCUCUAGAGGUGCAGCCAUUGGCCGGGUCAAUUUCCUUCCCGUCAACUUUAAAUGCCCAGCGUCCUGGAACAUUGACAUUUGUGGUCUCUUGAAUAUUUACAAUCUCAGGGGUCCUUGAUCCCGGAAGACUGAAGAAAUUCGUGAGGUUUCCACCAUUAAAUCCUGCCUGGAGCACACACACACACACAAAAGGGGUUUAAGCACUUACCAUCCCUAUUCCUUAGCUGACUCGAUUACAUUAAGAAUUCAUCACACUUGGAAACAAUGUAUCACUUUUUCCUGGAUUCCAUGAGUCACCAUUCAAGGGGUGGAAAGCCUGCUUAGUUCACUCCAUGCCCAGAGUAAGGUAUCAAAGAUAGAUAAGGCUAGCCCCUCAGUAUACCUACAAGAUCAAAAGUGUGCUUCCAGAGCAAGGGUAUUAACGGGACUCUGUCCAGGAUGCCCAGCAAAGCAAGCAAGAGAUAUGGUGAUAUAAAUCUGCAAGAGGAUGAUGCAGAGAACCUUGUACCUGUGCCAUCACACCUCCAAGGCCUGUUAGAGGGUCGCCACCGCUGGCUGUCCCAGUCGUCCAGUUGAUCUCAUAGUAAUUAAAGAGCGUGAAUGUGUAGGAGCCGUCGGAUACCAGCACAGCCUGGAAGGUGUUCACCUGCAGAAGGACCUCUUAGCAAUAAAGUGCUUCGAGCUGCUAGACAGACGAUGCUAAAACCCAUCC